rnacentral:tRNA from 1 species
GUAAGUAUAGUUCAAUGGUAGAACAGUGAAUUGUGGCUUCAAAGGCUGAAGGUUCAAGUCCUUCUUCUUACC